AAAAUUAAAAAAAAAAAUUAAUUUUGUCUGUUAAAAAAAAAUCGAGACAACUUCCAUGUAAGUCAUCUAAGGUAAACGAGUUAGUUUUGCAUUUGACCGGAUUGUGUCAGAAAGUUGAAUUUUCCUGGACGACUUAAAUUAAAAUAUCAAUAUUUUGUUAUACCUAGAUGACUUACAUGUAAAAUAUAUUUUGUACGUAUACUAGAAUAAAGGUGGAUACGAGGAAUAGGAUUGUAAAAUAUAUUAGCUUAAUUGCAGAACAUUUUUUUGGAUGCUGCUUUAAAAUGAACAAACCAGAGAUUAUAGAAAAGUAUGUGUGCCAUCAUGAUCCAUAAGUUUUGUUUUGAUGAUGGUUUUGAUAUCUUGAUAAAUGGAAUUAGGAGAGCAAGAAAUGUACAUGGAGGAGGAUAAUCUUAGAUUUCUCUCUUUCCAAAAAUGAGAUGAAGGUUUGUAUGAUUGGCGCAAGGGAUUGCUUUUCUUCAGCCAAUCCAAUACUUUCUGAAAUAUUAAAACUGCUCAGAUGCAAUGGUAGAGGAGCGAGCACAUGUCGUGAGUCUCGUGACUGAAGGUGCAGCUGAUGAGAUCGUUUACUUUAGCUUGGAGUAUGAUUAUAUCCACUUCUGUCGUAACAUGUAUAUGUUUGUGGAAUAGAUCUGAAUUCUUUAAAAAUCUGACCAAGAUACUAACUUUUUUUUUAGUUAAAACACGUGAAAGCUCAAGAUUAAUUAGUUUACUUCAGCAUUGUAAACAAAAUUCAUAAAUUCCAUACAAUUUGCAUACGCUAUUGUCUUAAGUAUUAUUGUAUUUGGUGAAGCCUCCUUGAUGUAUAAAUAUUAAUAUUCAUAUUAUGAAAUUAGUAGCACAAAUUUUUUGUCUUAAAAUUUCAUCUUUGUCUCUCUCAGGUCUGUACUGUAUGAACAAAG
rnacentral:lncRNA from 1 species